GUGCUCAGUUGGGCAGCACAUACACUAAAAUUGGAAUCAUACAGAGAUCAGCAUGGCCCUUCUGCAAGGAUGACACACAAAAAUAUACUUUAUGACUAUAU
rnacentral:snRNA from 1 species